UACGGAGGGUGCAAGCGUUGCUCGGAAUCACUGGGCGUAAAGCGUCCGCAGGCGGACCAAUAAGUCGGAUGUGAAAGCCCGGGGCUCAACCCCGGAACUGCAUUCGAAACUGCUGGUCUUGAGUACGAGAGAGGAAAGCGGAAUUCCUGGUGUAGAGGUGAAAUUCGUAGAUAUCAGGAGGAACACCUGUGGCGAAAGCGGCUUUCUGGCUCGAUACUGACGCUCAUGGACGAAAGCGUGGGGAGCAAACAGG
rnacentral:rRNA from 1 species